rnacentral:lncRNA from 1 species
GUCAAUUGUGUUCUCCAAUUUAUUUAUAUUGUAGUCCUGUGGUGUUGAGUUGUCAUUUUAAUGUUAUAUUUCACAUGGCUAUAAAAGAGGGAGGUUUGGCAUGCCACAAAACCAGGUUCAACCCACCAUUUUUUCCUUUAAAAAUGUCCUGUACCAAGUCAGGAAUAUGGCCAUUGUUAUAUUAUAGUUCGUUUCUGUGUGUGUUACAUUUUAACGUUGCGUCGUUUGUUUUCUCUUAUUUUUUAGUGUAAAUUUACAUUGCGAUAAGACGUGUCACGGUACUUGUC